rnacentral:rRNA from 1 species
AGCGAACGCUGGCGGCAGGCUUAACACAUGCAAGUCGAACGGGCCCCUUCGGGGGUCAGUGGCAGACGGGUGAGUAACACGUGGGAACGUGCCUUUCGGUUCGGAACAACUCCGGGAAACUGGAGCUAAUACCGGAUACGCCCUUCGGGGGAAAGAUUUAUCGCCGAAAGAUCGGCCCGCGUCUGAUUAGCUUGUUGGUGAGGUAAUGGCUCACCAAGGCGACGAUCAGUAGCUGGUCUGAGAGGAUGAUCAGCCACACUGGGACUGAGACACGGCCCAGACUCCUACGGGAGGCAGCAGUGGGGAAUAUUGGACAAUGGGCGAAAGCCUGAUCCAGCCAUGCCGCGUGAGUGAUGAAGGCCUUAGGGUUGUAAAGCUCUUUCGGCGGGGACGAUAAUGACGGUACCCGCAGAAGAAGCCCCGGCUAACUUCGUGCCAGCAGCCGCCGUA